rnacentral:tRNA from 3 species
GGGGGCGUGGCGGAAUUGGCAGACGCAGCGGACUUAAAAUCCGCCGCCGCAAGGUAUGUGGGUUCGAACCCCACCGCCCCUACCA